ensembl:lncRNA
GACUAACACUGGGCUGUUUAACACCUCAGACUCAGCAGCUGUAGAUUCUUCAGUUGAGGCCUUUUCUCAGUGAGAGUAGAGGAGACUGGGGAACAGACUAACACUGGGCUGUUUAACACCUCAGACUCAGCAGCUGUAGAUUCUUCAGUUGAGGCCUUUUCUCAGUAAGAGUAGAUGAGACUGGGGAACAGACUAACACUUUUAGACUCUAGUUUAUUAUGAAAAUAUUAUUUAAGUUAAAAUAAUUAAGAAUUAAAUUAAUUCUCUGCCCCCCUAUUAUACAACAGAAAUGUUUAUUUGUGUAUUUAUACUACCACGGUACCCAACCCUCUGAUAUGUGUAUUUAUACUACCACAAUACCCUCUGAAAUGUGUAUUUAUACUACCACAGUACCCUCUGAUUUGUGUAUUUAUACUACCACAGUACCCUCUGAUAUGUGUAUUUAUACUACCACAGUACCCUCUGAUUUGUGUAUUUAUACUACCACAGUACCCUCUGAUAUGUGUAUUUAUACUACCACAGUACCCUCUGAUGUGUGUAUUUAUACUACCACAGUACCCAACCCUCUUAUAUGUGUAUUUAUACUACAACAGUACCCUCUGAUAUGUGUAUUUAUACUACCACAGUACCCUCUGAUAUGUGUAUUUAUACUACCACAGUACCCUCUGAUAUGUGUAUUUAUACUACCACAGUACCCUCUGAUAUGUGUAUUUAUACUACCACAGUACCCUCUGAUUUGUGUAUUUAUACUACCACAGUACCCUCUGAUAUGUGUAUUUAUACUACCACAGUACCCUCUGAUUUGUGUAUUUAUACUACCACAGUACCCUCUGAUAUGUGUAUUUAUACUACCACAGUACCCUCUGAUAUGUGUAUUUAUACUACCACAGUACCCUCUAUGUGUAUGUAUACUACCACAGUACCCUCUGAUGUGUAUUUAUACUACCACAGUACCCUCUAUUGUGUGUAUUUAUACUACCACAGUACCCUCUGAUAUGUGUAUUCAUACUACCACAGUACCCUCUGAUAUGUGUGUUUAUACUACCACAGUGCACAACCCUCUUAUGUGUGUUUAUACUACCACAGUACCCUCUGAUAUGUGUAUUUUUACUACCACAGUACCCACCCCUCUGAUAUGUGUAUUUAUACUACCACAGUACCCAACCCUCUGAUAUGUGUAUUUAUACUACCACAGUACCCUCUGAUAUGUGUAUUCAUACUACCACAGUACCCUCUGAUAUGUGUGUUUAUACUACCACAGUGCACAACCCUCUUAUAUGUGUGUUUAUACUACCACAGUACCCUCUGAAAUGUGUAUUUAUACUACCACAGUACCCUCUGAUGUGUGUAUUUAUACUACCACAGUACCCAACCCUCUGAUAUGUGUAUUUAUACUACCACAGUACCCAACCCUCUGAUAUGUGUAUUUAUACUACCACAGUACCAACCCUCUUAUAUGUGUAUUUAUACUACCACAGUACCCUCUGAUAUGUGUAUUUAUACUACCACAGUACCCUCUGAUAUGUGUAUUUAUACUACCACAGUACCCUCUGAUAUGUGUAUUUAUACUACCACGGUACCCAACCCUCUGAUAUGUGUAUUUAUACUACCACAGUAGCCUCUGAUAUGUGUAUUUAUACUACCACAGUACCCACCCCUCUGAUAUGUGUAUUUAUACUACCACAGUACCCACCCCUCUGAUAUGUGUAUUUAUACUACCACAGUACGUUCUGAUAUGUGUAUUUAUACUACCACAGUACCCAACCAGGAGCCUCCUACAGAGCUCACAGUUCAUCACUGUCCUUUCCCUGGUGGGGAGAAGACCAGAAGAGGGUGAUGUCCUUCCUGUCUCCAAGUUCUGCCUCAAAAUGUGCUGGGGUGAGUUUUUACAUAAUAAAUGAGAAGAUUAGAAAUGGUAUUUUAAUAUUUUAUUCUCUCAUGAUGUAUCAAUGUCUCAGGAUGCCACUGGGUAAACAUUAUCUAACUGAAUGAUGAACCUUUCUGUGAUGACAUGUGGAAGAAGAUAGCCUGUCUGGUAUAAUUAUUGGUCAAGACUGGACAAGGAGGGUUGGAUAAACUCCUCUGUAUGUGGAACAGGUGUGACUAUUUAUCAGGUGUAACAAUCAAACCUCCCUAUUGGCUGUGUGUUCCACAUUCUAAAGUAGAACCAUAAUUUUACUUGCUGAAAUAUUGUCCAGAAAUGACCUCAUUGGACAGAAAGGGGAACUCCUCCCACACGCAUGUUGAACAAAUAUAAUGUUUCCCUGAAACAAAGUAUUCCUGUAGUUUAAUGAAAUAUGAAACUAAUUCAUAGUAUAUCAUACAUCAUGCAAGCCAACAUUCAAGGCAACACUUUUACGUAAACAAUUAGCAAAUUAACGUCCACACCUUGAAAUCACAACAACAGGUUAUUUUACAGGAAGUAAAAUUAUGUGACCUGCUUCAGCUGUUUAAGAAAUUAAAAAUAUUUUACUAAAGUGAAGCAGUCAUUUUAAAUAUUAUACAUGCAGGUAGGGUAGACUGGGGAACAAAGUAACACAGGGGCAGUUGUAACAGAUAAAUAACGCCAAUUAGAAACCAGGUAGAAAGCUCUUAUUCAAUGUGAUAAUGGUUGGUUAGUUUCUCUACAUGACCAACAGGUUUUGUUUAAAUCCAUUGAUGACUUUUAGUUUUAUUGAAGGAAAAAAUCUAUUUGAGGUCCAAAAGUAAAUAUACUUGCCUCCUGUCUUUUAAUUACAUGAUUGACCUGUGGAACAUUCACCUACUGGGUCAAUUGUAACAUUUAAUUCCCACCACUUGGUUGAAUUGUAAAUGACUGGUACGUCCUAGGAACAUAUUUACUGUGUAAUGGUAGCUCAGAUAUGUUAUUUACAUAAAAAUAUGAUUAAUUUAACUUAAAUAAUAUUUUCAUAAUAAACUAGAGUCUAAAAGUGUUAGUCUGUUCCCCAGUCUCCUCUACUCUCACUGAGAAAAGGCCUCAACUGAAGAAUCUACAGCUGCUGAGUCUGAGGUGUUAAACAGCCCAGUGUUAGUCUGUUCCCCAGUCUCCUCUACUCUUACUGAGAAAAGGCCUCAACUGAAGAAUCUACAGCUGCUGAGUCUGAGGUGUUAACCAGCCCAGUGUUAGUCUGUUCCCCAGUCUCCUCUACUCUCACUGAGAAAAGGCCUCAACUGAAGAAUCUACAGCUGCUGAGUCUGAGGUGUUAAACAGCCCAGUGUUAGUCUGUUCCCCAGUCUCCUCUACUCUCACUGAGAAAAGGCCUCAACUGAAGAAUCUACAGCUGCUGAGUCUGAGGUGUUAAACAGCCCAGUGUUAGUCUGUUCCCCAGUCUCCUCUACUCUCACUGAGAAAAGGCCUCAACUGAAGAAUCUACAGCUGCUGAGUCUGAGGUGUUAAACAGCCCAGUGUUAGUCUGUUCCCCAGUCUCCUCUACUCUCACUGAGAAAAGGCCUCAACUGAAGAAUCUACAGCUGCUGAGUCUGAGGUGUUAAACAGCCCAGUGUUAGUCUGUUCCCCAGUCUCCUCUACUCUCACUGAGAAAAGGCCUCAACUGAAGAAUCUACAGCUGCUGAGUCUGAGGUGUUAAACAGCCCAGUGUUAGUCUGUUCCCCAGUCUCCUCUACUCUCACUGAGAAAAGGCCUCAACUGAAGAAUCUACAGCUGCUGAGUCUGAGGUGUUAAACAGCCCAGUGUUAGUCUGUUCCCCAGUCUCCUCUACUCUCACUGAGAAAAGGCCUCAACUGAAGAAUCUACAGCUGCUGAGUCUGAGGUGUUAAACAGCCCAGUGUUAGUCUGUUCCCCAGUCUCCUCUACUCUCACUGAGAAAAGGCCUCAACUGAAGAAUCUACAGCUGCUGAGUCUGAGGUGUUAAACAGCCCAGUGUUAGUCUGUUCCCCAGUCUCCUCUACUCUCACUGAGAAAAGGCCUCAACUGAAGAAUCUACAGCUGCUGAGUCUGAGGUGUUAAACAGCCCAGUGUUAGUCUGUUCCCCAGUCUCCUCUACUCUCACUGAGAAAAGGCCUCAACUGAAGAAUCUACAGCUGCUGAGUCUGAGGUGUUAAACAGCCCAGUGUUAGUCUGUUCCCCAGUCUCCUCUACUCUCACUGAGAAAAGGCCUCAACUGAAGAAUCUACAGCUGCUGAGUCUGAGGUGUUAAACAGCCCAGUGUUAGUCUGUUCCCCAGUCUCCUCUACUCUCACUGAGAAAAGGCCUCAACUGAAGAAUCUACAGCUGCUGAGUCUGAGGUGUUAAACAGCCCAGUGUUAGUCUGUUCCCCAGUCUCAUCUACUCUCACUGAGAAAAGGCCUCAACUGAAGAAUCUACAGCUGCUGAGUCUGAGGUGUUAAACAGCCCAGUGUUAGUCUGUUCCCCAGUCUCCUCUACUCUCACUGAGAAAAGGCCUCAACUGAAGAAUCUACAGCUGCUGAGUCUGAGGUGUUAAACAGCCCAGUGUUAGUCUGUUCCCCAGUCUCCUCUACUCUCACUGAGAAAAGGCCUCAACUGAAGAAUCUACAGCUGCUGAGUCUGAGGUGUUAAACAGCCCAGUGUUAGUCUGUUCCCCAGUCUCCUCUACUCUCACUGAGAAAAGGCCUCAACUGAAGAAUCUACAGCUGCUGAGUCUGAGGUGUUAAACAGCCCAGUGUUAGUCUGUUCCCCAGUCUCCUCUACUCUCACUGAGAAAAGGCCUCAACUGAAGAAUCUACAGCUGCUGAGUCUGAGGUGUUAAACAGCCCAGUGUUAGUCUGUUCCCCAGUCUCCUCUACUCUCACUGAGAAAAGGCCUCAACUGAAGAAUCUACAGCUGCUGAGUCUGAGGUGUUAACCAGCCCAGUGUUAGUCUGUUCCCCAGUCUCCUCUACUCUCACUGAGAAAAGGCCUCAACUGAAGAAUCUACAGCUGCUGAGUCUGAGGUGUUAAACAGCCCAGUGUUAGUCUGUUCCCCAGUCUCCUCUACUCUCACUGAGAAAAGGCCUCAACUGAAGAAUCUACAGCUGCUGAGUCUGAGGUGUUAAACAGCCCAGUGUUAGUCUGUUCCCCAGUCUCCUCUACUCUCACUGAGAAAAGGCCUCAACUGAAGAAUCUACAGCUGCUGAGUCUGAGGUGUUAAACAGCCCAGUGUUAGUCUGU